UGUGCAGCUUCCUAUACAUCUACCUCUGUGUGUCUGGGGUCACUCCACAUGGCCGCUUCUGUCUGCACCUGAGCAAAUGGGUG
rfam:Ictidomys tridecemlineatus contig035304, whole genome shotgun sequence.